CGUCGCCGUCGUCGUCGCCAUGUUGUGGUCCCCAUCAGCAUCCUUCUCCUUCCUCUUCCUCCG
rnacentral:ribozyme from 1 species